AAACACUGCAAUGUUACUUCACCAAUCCUCAUAGGGAAAAUGCAACAGUGUACUUCAUACUGGGACAAACAAGGUGCAGCACAAAACAAAUUAGCCUGCCGCAGAUCGCUGCUCAGGAAAGUCAGCUUGAUUAUCUGACUGUAGCUGAAAAACCCAAACAGAGGCGAAUCCGAACCAUACAGAACUAGUGAAAUACAGAGAAAUCCGAGAGGAAUGCUCUAUCAGGACGGCAGAACCAGGAAGAUGUCAUGUGGAGAAACUGCAAAUAUUUUUUAAGGAAAAAGAAAAAGGUACAGAAAGGGGAACAUUCACUGGUCACUAAAUUUACCACCCCACCCCACUGUGUGUGGCAAGUAUUAUGACCCCUCCUCCUGGCUCCACUGUGAGUGUGUGGCUCUGCAGCACAUGUGGCCCUAAUAUGUGCUGCACAAGAAGAAAGGAAGUUACUAUAUUGUGUGGCAGCAAGAAGGAAUCUAAUUUCACUGGAGUCAAAUUUAAAAAUUCAGUUUGAACUGGCUGUCUUUAUACUUUCCAGACUUGUACUGUACCCUGUUCCCUCGCCUGACUUCCUUCCUGUGUUACAUGCAAUAGGACCCCACUUCCAUUCACAAUGUUUUUCAAUGUGCAAGUGUAAUGGGAAGUGUUGUGUGAUGCACUGCCGAUAUAUAUUUUGUUCUCCGGCAGUGAGAUAAGAUGAGGUUAAAAGGUCUAAAACCACCAGCUAUUUUGCAUUGUGGUUAAGACACUUGCUUGUGGUAUGUGGUGUCGUAGGUUUGCACCAAGUUUCCCUCCACUACAUUGGGGCCUUGACCCGGAUCUCAAAACCCGGUUGAACAGGACAGGACACUCAGGUGGGGUGUUAUUACCUGUAACACAGGGGGAACAUACAGUAUUGUGCCAGAAAUGAAUGGUCCUUCCCUAAGUAGGAAAAAAGAAAGACACUGAAGAACUGCUUUGAAAGCCCUGGUUUGUACAGCUUUAAGCCUGUUUCGUUUUGUUUCUCAAUUACCAUAUUAUUUAGGCCCAUCAAUGCCAGUCAUUACAACUGAGCAGAAAACUGUGUGCCAUUGAAUGUAUAUAAAAUACCACACUGCAAAUGUCUGUAUAUCAAAAGUAAACUCUCUGCAUUUGGGAUUAGCAUGAUUGCUUCCUCCGGGGAGCUCUAUUCUUGCUUUAUUUAUCAAGCUUAUAGACACUUGCUGAUGCUCCGUUUCCUUCCCUGACCUAGAUUUCAGUCCAAACAUCUGAAAAUGUGUUUGCGUGUCCCGCUUCUCUCCACUGCUUAUGUUCUUGUCAUUAAUGGAGUUGCUUGCUGUUGAGAGCCCUACUUUGUAUGCCACUGUGUACAGUAUGAAUAAACAGUGAAUCCCUGUA